UGUGGAGAAGCUUGUCAUCUUGCGGCUUGUUGCGUUAAGACUACCACAGAAAAACUCUUAUCAUUACCUGUUCAAAUCUAUGUUUUUUGUUAUGAGGGUUGAUGUCAGGUUAUUAUAAAUAAGGAUAAUGCAAUGAAGGGUGGAUAUGAUUCAUGCCAUAUUGUCAGGCUUGUGUCUCAUCAAAACUGUAUAAAGAGAACAGAGAGUCGACACAUGUACCAUAUAAUGAAGUUGCAAGAGGACAAAAGCAUCUUUCUUUUCAUUUCUUACAAAUCAAUUUGGAGCCACUAUACACAUACACUAAUCUCCAAUUUUCCAAUCAACCUUUGUUGGAUGCAUAGAUUAUGUGAUAAUAUUUGCUUAUAUGUUUCUUAAGAAUUGAUAUAUCUUCAAAACCAAAUGGUUUAGAAUGAUAAUCCCUGAAAUGCAGAGUUCGUUAAAUCCGUUCAGACAGCCACUGGCUGGUUAUCCCUUGCUACCCAAACUGCAUCAUCUUUGCUAAGUAAACUCACAAACAUUGUUGAUCUAGAUUGGUCCAUGGACUAACAAUUUAAGCACGAAAUGAUUGUUAUCUAUACAAUGAUGGUAUAACAUGUCACAUCAUACGAUUUGUUGGUGGUUGUAGUUAUUUAUGUGGAUAAGGACCAGCAGCAACUACAUACUAUCAUCAUUGUAGUCAUUUAUUUCUUAGGUGAACUUUUAUCAUCCCAUCAUGUAAUAAUGUUUCUGGUGAAAAUAAUUGCCAUUAUUAUGUACGACUAGAUAUGUCACUAUAAAUCUCAUACACUGGCCAAUUAAUAUUCGUCAUACACUGGACAAGAGACGACAUACCAUUUCUCUGUCCGAUAUCAUGUGCUAAACUUUGAUUCAUGGGAAGAGACAGCUGAGUUGGAACAUGUAAGGUUUUGAUUAGUUGUCUCCUUGUAAAGUGAUGAGAACGAGAAGGUGCGAUAUUUGUUAGCAUAAGUGGUUUAACAUUGAAGGAUAGUUCAAAUCCACAAGUAGCUUUGCUUCCUUUACAUCCUGAUAUUCAGAUGGAUCGAUACUCUAGUCCGUAACUACCAACCUCCCCUUGAUGCUCACUUGGUAAUUUCUGUCAUGUCUAUAUGUGGACUCGUGUACAACCUGCAUAUGCUGCAAAUAUGUGGAACAAUGCGCCCAAUAAAAAUCUCGUUGCUCAGAAACAAUGAGGCGUGAAAUGUCAUUUGAUGAGCUACUUGCCAUCCGUGAACAGGACGAGUAACAAAAUGUGUUGCUUCCAUCCUUGCAAUGUACAAAACCACUGGUGCAUUCGGCCCUCUCGCUAAUCACAUUCAAGGCCAUCUUAAGUGUUAGGAAAAAUUAUUCAACCUGUUUGUCUCUGUAUCUCUACUUGUGUUUUGUCUACUUUAUGUUUAUUUAUUUAUCAAGCUUUACCUUUUUAGUUAUAAGGGAAGAAAACCACGUUUGAGAAUAAUUCUAUGUGAUUAUGUGAUGAUAUUUUAUAAUAUAAUGUUGGUUUAAAUAUAAAUACUACCAAGCAACAAAAUCUCUAGUGAUGAUUCUGAUUUACAACAGUAAAAUACGUAAUUACAGUCAGUUUUUCACUCAUGCGUUGUACUCUUGUUUUUUUUUUUAAUUGGAUGUUAAAUUCAUUCAAAGACAAAAAAAAACUGGUUUACAUCAGAGAGUGAAUUCUGUUUGAUUUGCUUUACAAAAAAGAAAUUAAACUAAAUCUGUUUCUGUUGUUGUACUCUUGUUUGAUGUGCAAAGUUAAGAAAUAAAUAAAAGAGUGAUAGUAAAGGAUACUGCAUUAAUAAUUAAAACCU